rnacentral:rRNA from 1 species
UACAGAGGAUGCAAGCGUUAUCCGGAAUGAUUGGGCGUAAAGCGUCUGUAGGUGGCUUUUUAAGUCCGCCGUCAAAGCCCCGGGCUCAACCUGGGAAUGGCAGUGGAUACUGGACAGCUAGAGUGCGGUAGAGGGUAGUGGAAUUCCCGGUGUAGCAGUGAAAUGCGUAGAGAUCGGGAGGAACACCAGUGGCGAAGGCGGCUACCUGGACCAGCACUGACACUGAAGCACGAAAGCGUGGGGAGCAAACAGG